rnacentral:piRNA from 1 species
UGAUCUCACUAUUGCCUGUGUGCCAGCUC